rnacentral:rRNA from 1 species
AACACGUGAGUAACCUGCCCUUGACUCUGGGAUAAGCCUGGGAAACUGGGUCUAAUACCGGAUACGACCAUCUGGCGCAUGUCAUGGUGGUGGAAAGCUUUUGUGGUUUUGGAUGGACUCGCGGCCUAUCAGCUUGUUGGUGGGGUAAUGGCCUACCAAGGCGACGACGGGUAGCCGGCCUGAGAGGGUGACCGGCCACACUGGGACUGAGACACGGCCCAGACUCCUACGGGAGGCAGCAGUGGGGAAUAUUGCACAAUGGGCGCAAGCCUGAUGCAGCGACGCCGCGUGAGGGAUGACGGCCUUCGGGUUGUAAACCUCUUUCAGUAGGGAAGAAGCGAAAGUGACGGUACCUGCAGAAGAAGCGCCGGCUAACUACGUGCCAGCAGCCGCGGUAAUACGUAGGGCGCAAGCGUUAUCCGGAAUUAUUGGGCGUAAAGAGCUCGUAGGCGGUUUGUCGCGUCUGCUGUGAAAGACCGGGGCUCAACUCCGGUUCUGCAGUGGGUACGGGCAGACUAGAGUGCAGUAGGGGAGACUGGAAUUCCUGGUGUAGCGGUGAAAUGCGCAGAUAUCAGGAGG